rnacentral:rRNA from 1 species
UACGUAGGGAGCAAGCGUUGUCCGGAAUCAUUGGGCGUAAAGCGCGCGUAGGUGGCUUCGUAAGUCCGUUGUGAAAGUCAAAGGCUCAACCUUUGAAAGCCGAUGGAUACUGCGGAGCUAGAGUACGGAAGAGGCGAGUGGAAUUCCUGGUGUAGCGGUGGAAUGCGCAGAUAUCAGGAGGAACACCAAUAGCGAAGGCAGCUCGCUGGGGGUGCACUGACACUGAGACACGAAAGCCAGGGGAGCGAACGGG